rnacentral:rRNA from 1 species
CCUACGGGAGGCAGCAGUGGGGAAUAUUGCACAAUGGGGGAAACCCUGAUGCAGCGACGCCGCGUGAGUGAAGAAGGAUUUAGGUAGGUAAAGCUCUAUCAGCAGGGAAGAAAAUGACGGUACCUGAUUAAGAAGCCCCGGCUAACUACGUGCCAGCACCCGCGGUAAUACGUAGGGGGCAAGCGUUAUCCGGAUUUACUGGGUGUAAAGGGGGCGUAGACGGCAGCGCAAGUCUGAAGUGAAAUGCCGGGGCUUAACCCCGGAACUGCUUUGGAAACGGUGCAGCUAGAGUGCAGGAGAGGUAAGUGGAAUUCCUAGUGUAGCGGUGAAAUGCGUAGAUAUUAGGAGGAACACCAGUGGCGAAGGCGGCUUACUGGACUGUAACUGACGUUGAGGCUCGAAAGCGUGGGGAGCAAACAGGAUUAGAUACCCCAGUAGUC